AUGCAGUCGAGCGGAGAUAAUAGAAGUGCUUGCACUUCUAUUAUCUCAGCGGCGGACGGGUGAGUAACACGUAGGUAACCUGCCUGUAAGACUGGGAUAACUACCGGAAACGGUAGCUAAUACCGGAUAAUUUGUUUCUUCACCUGAAGAGACACUGAAAGGCGGAGUAAUCUGCCACUUAUAGAUGGGCCUGCGGCGCAUUAGCUAGUUGGUGAGGUAACGGCUCACCAAGGCGACGAUGCGUAGCCGACCUGAGAGGGUGAACGGCCACACUGGGACUGAGACACGGCCCAGACUCCUACGGGAGGCAGCAGUAGGGAAUCUUCCGCAAUGGACGAAAGUCUGACGGAGCAACGCCGCGUGAGUGAUGAAGGUUUUCGGAUCGUAAAGCUCUGUUGCCAGGGAAGAACGCUUGGGAGAGUAACUGCUCUCAAGGUGACGGUACCUGAGAAGAAAGCCCCGGCUAACUACGUGCCAGCAGCCGCGGUAAUACGUAGGGGGCAAGCGUUGUCCGGAAUUAUUGGGCGUAAAGCGCGCGCAGGCGGUCAUUUAAGUUUGGUGUAUAAUCCCGGGGCUCAACCCCGGGUCGCACUGAAAACUGGGUGACUUGAGUACAGAAGAGGAGAGUGGAAUUCCACGUGUAGCGGUGAAAUGCGUAGAUAUGUGGAGGAACACCAGUGGCGAAGGCGACUCUCUGGGCUGUAACUGACGCUGAGGCGCGAAAGCGUGGGGAGCAAACA
rnacentral:rRNA from 1 species